rnacentral:lncRNA from 1 species
GGCUGACAGACAACAACCGUCGAAUCCCAGCGGUUUUAUUUUACCGCUCUCUGGCCACGUGUUUCAUGUAAAUAUCCCGAGUGUAAAACAGCAUGGAAAAAGUUUCAACCGAGGUGCGUUUGAUCAUCUUCGUGGCGCUGACAUUUGAAUUUAUUUCAGGUCUCUGACAAACAUACAGUACGCGGUCGAAUAAUGACAUUUUGGAAACGACUUUAACCCUACUGAGCUGUUUCAGGCGAAAUAGUAUUGAGAUCACGACAAAUAUUUAUUGUUUAAGUGCAACUGUAGAUCAACAAGAAAAACGCGGCAGUGAGUGUACACGGAAAAUUGCAAAUUGGUAAAUUAACCGCAUUCUGAAUAAUAGGCAGCGUUUUUUUUUGUUUGUUUGUUUGUUUUUUUUUUUUUUUGUUUUGCACAUUGCGAGAUAAAUUGCAGUACAAGGGACCGCGGUCACAGACGGCAUUGGAAAGCCUAAUCCAGACUGUGUGCCGUGUCUAAUCGGAAUUGACUGACGGGCAACGUUUCCACAUCACACAGUGACCAACUUUCUCUUUUCAGCCUUGGCAGUUCAAGUCGAAUAAGAACAAUGCGAACCUUCCUUACCAGUGAACUGGCAGCACAACCUUCGACUGCGGUGGCCACUCUCACAUCUCCAUGUGCCUCAUGCUGCGGUGGGGGGCAUGAAAAAGGGGCCAUGCUUUUGAGGAUGCAGCAGUAUGCGUGAGACGGGUUCAGCGGAGUUGCAAAAGAUGCGUGACCUGAUGCAAUCCUCAUGACCACGGCAGUAAUGGAGACGGAGAACCUGCACAAGUUUCCGCGUCUCCGAGGAAAGAGCUGACUCCCUCUCCCGCCUCCUUUUAAUUGGUCCAAGGAGGCCUGUUUGUGCAGAUUGAGAGGGGGCCUUACAAGGGAACCACAUGAUGCCUCACCCACGUCCGCAUUGUUGUUGCGAUGUCUCAAGUCUCGGCGCUGAUGCGCUUGUUUCUGAAAAUAACCGCAGUGUGGAAAAAUAAAAAUUGUCAGUUGAAAGGAGUGUGGAAUAUG